GAAAAAGCCAAUCUUGUUAAUUCUUGGGCUGACUCCUUCUAUCAGUUCACAACGUCUUCUCGGUCCACCAUUGAACUGGCUGUUGAUGAGGCCGAAUUGGGUGUUUUGGUUAGUGAGGUCGAUCAAGGUUUAGUACCAGGGGGCUGUGAGGAGUGGUUGGAAAGGGAAGAUUCUGUGGCCUUUUCCAGAGAUUUUGACAAAGAACCAAUUCUUGUUCGUGGCCGUGAACAGACAUUGAACUCCUGUUCGGUGGGAUGUAAGUUUGGAACCAAUUUCGAUAAGAAGUCUGAUGCAGCAUUUCGG
rnacentral:misc_RNA from 1 species